CACACGACUCUCGGCAACGGAUAUCUCGGCUCUCGCAUCGAUGAAGAACGUAGCGAAAUGCGAUACCUGGUGUGAAUUGCAGAAUCCCGCGAACCAUCGAGUCUUUGAACGCAAGUUGCGCCCGAGGCCUCUUGGCCGAGGGCACGCCUGCUUGGGCGUCACGC
rnacentral:rRNA from 1 species